rnacentral:rRNA from 1 species
UACAGAGGGUGCGAGCGUUGUCCGGAAUCACUGGGCGUAAAGGGCGCGUAGGUGGUUGGGUAAGCGUGUGGUGAAAGCCCGGGGCUCAACCCCGGGUCGGCCAUGCGAACUGCUCGACUGGAGCACGGUAGAGGCCAAUGGAAUUCCGGGUGUAGCGGUGGAAUGCGUAGAGAUCCGGAAGAACACCGGUGGCGAAGGCGGUUGGCUGGGCCGUGGCUGACACUGAUGCGCGACAGCGUGGGGAGCAAACAGG